ACCAUAAGCUAGCAACAACUGUGAAACCUCAACUCGAUGAGCGGAAGGGAGUUGUUGCAGAGAGCAUCGAUGCAAAGCAUGGUGAGCCUCAGCCGCACUGUCACCGACGUGUGCGCUGCCGCCCUCCUCAUCCAUGCACCCUUCGCCUCUACCCGUCCAGAUUGAUUGGAAAAAAUCAAUCUGUGAACAGCGUGUGCAAGAACAGAAGGAUCAAACGAGCAAGCAAGCAUCAUUGAAAAAGGCAGUGGCAGAUGAAGAGAACAAGAGCUCGAUCGCUUAGAUGAAGAAAACACUGUACUUCUGAAGCUAGGCAUAUCAAUCAAUACGCAGAGCAGAGAGUCCAUUAGGAUCAUCUCAAGGCAUGUUCUUGCAUCCUCAAAUUAAAAUCAUUUUUGUACAGAGGUUCCAAAAAGGGGAUGAAAAUAAGAUGAAUCGAUGGGAGAAAUCAUACACUGUUUCUUGCAAAGUAGCUAGACUUCGUUCAGUUAAGCUCCGGCCAGUAUUUUAAUACAGUACUCUAUUCUAAUGCUAGUCUGCUAGUAAUAACAGAUGCUAAUUUUUGUUGGUAUUUGUUUAGGUUCUUGUUCGGGGGAGAGAGAGGAUUAGAGAAGGUAUAGAGAUAUGGACGGAAUAUAAUUACAAUAUACUUAUCUUGUUAGUAAAGACAAAACUGUAUCAUGGUAGAGCUUCGUCUGCGGCCAGCCACAAAACAUGUGACGUUUUAGCGGGCCACCGUGAAGCAUGUAAAAACCCUUUGUAGUUUGGUAAGAACUACCGUUGAUGUCUACUUAGUACUCGUGGUUACUAUGGAAGUGGAGCGGGCAACCACAGCCCGCCCCACCUGCAUCUUUAGUUAUCA